rnacentral:rRNA from 1 species
UUUAUGGAGAGUUUGAUCCUGGCUCAGGAUGAACGCUGGCGGCGUGCCUAAUACAUGCAAGUCGAGCGAACGGACGAGAAGCUUGCUUCUCUGAUGUUAGCGGCGGACGGGUGAGUAACACGUGGAUAACCUACCUAUAAGACUGGGAUAACUUCGGGAAACCGGAGCUAAUACCGGAUAAUAUUUUGAACCGCAUGGUUCAAAAGUGAAAGACGGUCUUGCUGUCACUUAUAGAUGGAUCCGCGCUGCAUUAGCUAGUUGGUAAGGUAACGGCUUACCAAGGCAACGAUGCAUAGCCGACCUGAGAGGGUGAUCGGCCACACUGGAACUGAGACACGGUCCAGACUCCUACGGGAGGCAGCAGUAGGGAAUCUUCCGCAAUGGGCAAAAGCCUGACGGAGCAACGCCGCGUGAGUGAUGAAGGUCUUCGGAUCGUAAAACUCUGUUAUUAGGGAAGAACAUAUGUGUAAGUAACUGUGCACAUCUUGACGGUACCUAAUCAGAAAGCCACGGCUAACUACGUGCCAGCAGCCGCGGUAAUACGUAGGUGGCAAGCGUUAUCCGGAAUUAUUGGGCGUAAAGCGCGCGUAGGCGGUUUUUUAAGUCUGAUGUGAAAGCCCACGGCUCAACCGUGGAGGGUCAUUGGAAACUGGAAAACUUGAGUGCAGAAGAGGAAAGUGGAAUUCCAUGUGUAGCGGUGAAAUGCGCAGAGAUAUGGAGGAACACCAGUGGCGAAGGCGACUUUCUGGUCUGUAACUGACGCUGAUGUGCGAAAGCGUGGGGAUCAAACAGGAUUAGAUACCCUGGUAGUCUACGCCGUAAACGAUGAGUGCUAAGUGUUAGGGGGUUUCCGCCCCUUAGUGCUGCAGCUAACGCAUUAAGCACUCCGCCUGGGGAGUACGACCGCAAGGUUGAAACUCAAAGGAAUUGACGGGGACCCGCACAAGCGGUGGAGCAUGUGGUUUAAUUCGAAGCAACGCGAAGAACCUUACCAAAUCUUGACAUCCUUUGACAACUCUAGAGAUAGAGCUUUCCCCUUCGGGGGACAAAGUGACAGGUGGUGCAUGGUUGUCGUCAGCUCGUGUCGUGAGAUGUUGGGUUAAGUCCCGCAACGAGCGCAACCCUUAAGCUUAGUUGCCAUCAUUAAGUUGGGCACUCUAAGUUGACUGCCGGUGACAAACCGGAGGAAGGUGGGGAUGACGUCAAAUCAUCAUGCCCCUUAUGAUUUGGGCUACACACGUGCUACAAUGGACAAUACAAAGGGCAGCGAAACCGCGAGGUCAAGCAAAUCCCAUAAAGUUGUUCUCAGUUCGGAUUGUAGUCUGCAACUCGACUACAUGAAGCUGGAAUCGCUAGUAAUCGUAGAUCAGCAUGCUACGGUGAAUACGUUCCCGGGUCUUGUACACACCGCCCGUCACACCACGAGAGUUUGUAACACCCGAAGCCGGUGGAGUAACCUUUUAGGAGCUAGCCGUCGAAGGUGGGACAAAUGAUUGGGGUGAAGUCGUAACAAGGUAGCCGUAUCGGAAGGUGCGGCUGGAUCACCUCCUUU